AUACAUGCAAGUCGAGCGAAUGGAUUAAGAGCUUGCUCUUAUGAAGUUAGCGGCGGACGGGUGAGUAACACGUGGGUAACCUGCCCAUAAGACUGGGAUAACUCCGGGAAACCGGGGCUAAUACCGGAUAACAUUUUGAACCGCAUGGUUCGAAAUUGAAAGGCGGCUUCGGCUGUCACUUAUGGAUGGACCCGCGUCGCAUUAGCUAGUUGGUGAGGUAACGGCUCACCAAGGCAACGAUGCGUAGCCGACCUGAGAGGGUGAUCGGCCACACUGGGACUGAGACACGGCCCAGACUCCUACGGGAGGCAGCAGUAGGGAAUCUUCCGCAAUGGACGAAAGUCUGACGGAGCAACGCCGCGUGAGUGAUGAAGGCUUUCGGGUCGUAAAACUCUGUUGUUAGGGAAGAACAAGUGCUAGUUGAAUAAGCUGGCACCUUGACGGUACCUAACCAGAAAGCCACGGCUAACUACGUGCCAGCAGCCGCGGUAAUACGUAGGUGGCAAGCGUUAUCCGGAAUUAUUGGGCGUAAAGCGCGCGCAGGUGGUUUCUUAAGUCUGAUGUGAAAGCCCACGGCUCAACCGUGGAGGGUCAUUGGAAACUGGGAGACUUGAGUGCAGAAGAGGAAAGUGGAAUUCCAUGUGUAGCGGUGAAAUGCGUAGAGAUAUGGAGGAACACCAGUGGCGAAGGCGACUUUCUGGUCUGUAACUGACACUGAGGCGCGAAAGCGUGGGAGCAAACAGGAUUAGAUACCCUGGUAGUCCACGCCGUAAACGAUGAGUGCUAAGUGUUAGA
rnacentral:rRNA from 1 species